rnacentral:rRNA from 1 species
AUGAAGAGGGCCGCGCCGUCGGAGGAGCCGGUGGAGCUCUCUUCCGGCGACGACCUGAGCUCGGAUUCCGACGAUGAGGCCGGGAACGGGAAAGGCGAGAACUCCUUCCGGCUGCCCAUGUCCUCCAAAUCUGCAGCUCCAGCAAAAGGUGCAUUGAUCAGGAGGGCUGAAAUGUAUCAAGAGUACAUGAAGCACAUCCCAAUUCCUGAUCACUGCAGCUCCUUGAUCCCAUCCACAUCAUGGCUGGGACUCGGAAGAUCGGUGAAGCAGUUGUACGAGCAGCCCUUGCAUUACCUCACCAACAUCCUCUUGAGACAGUGGGAUCAACAGAGGGUUGGGAGCGAUAAUGAGCACCAGCCUCUGGAUGCUAUCAUUCACCCUAUGAAAGCUCAAGCCCUCAUUUGGGCCACUGAAGAAGUCCAUAGGCUGACCACCUCUAGUGACCACUUAGAGAAGGUCUGGGCUAAAGACCCCAUGUAUCAUGCUAACAUAGAUCCAGUGUUCCCUUCCCUAAAGUUGCAUUAG